UCAGGUUUCUGUAAUCGAUUUCUCUUCCAGUGCUGCUGCAGCUCUCCUUACUGCCCCCUCCCUGAUCUUUGGCAGCAACACCAGAGUUAACCGCACUCCCCCUCUCUCCCCCAGCCCUGUCAGGAGGUGGGGGCCUUGGUGGACGAAGGCAAUAGCCGGCUGGCUCCCUGAGAGGGCCGGGGGGGGGGGGUCGGCUCCGCACACGCUCGCUCUGUCCUGAUUUGAUCAUCACUACGAUGCGAUCAUUGGCUUCAGCCUUCCUGAAGACUGUGGACAAAGCUUUGCAGAAUCUACGUGGCCUGCUGCUCUACAAAUACUAUCCAAAAAGACAGGAAGUUCAGACAGCCACGAGCCUCAAACUAUAACAGGAGCAUCAGUGGGAAGGCCAGCAUUGCUUCCUUCCCCUAACUGGUGAAGCAUUCACACUCACAGCAACAAUAACAGUUACGUGUUUCCAAGUUAGGAUGCCAUACGCGGAUGGCGGGAUUCCCAUGUGACUGGUGCUCUCGGCCUUCUUGGUGGCGGAGGACGAGGGUCUGGGAGUUGGUAUCAUAGUAGCCUGGGUUGAAGCCUUACAUCAAGACUUGUAUUCUAUGCCCUGAUCAACCAAGGCAAGGAUGCCCAUCAUUCUUCGUCCUUCUAUCCAUCUGUUUGAGAGGGCUCACAGAAAAAGAAACAUUUUCAAGAAACAGCAAAUGAUUGCAAAGCAUCCUACUCGCGGCAGUUGGUCAUUAAUCUCUACAGCUGUAGCUCAGAGAUGUGCACGUUGCAUGAUUAUAAAUGCUCUAGGAACUACCUGAAUGCCGUUGAGUUUAAACAAAGCAAGAAGUGAUUGUGAGAAAUCCUAACAAGGAGCACAGCAUGAAGUACCAAAAAGCAACAGAAACAAUUGGACAGGAGUGGGAAACAAGACAAUAGCCACACAGCGAGACGGCGUAAUUUCUCAUUGCAGGAAGCCAGGAACAUUCCUUCUCGUUUUUUUUAAAUGCACACAAUCACACAAACAGCUGUUACCACAUUCAGCCCACGGUAAAACCCCACCAGAACAUCCCUAUUGCAAGUGUCUCCGCCACCAAGAGAAAGACCCUGAGACUUGUGUGGAAGAAGCUUGGGUUUGCAAUGGGGAGUCACCAAAAUCAGCAACGUGGUCUCUUUUGCACUCAAAAGCUUACUGAGGCUCUGCGAGCAUUGCUUCACCCGGGCAAAGAAAGAAAUAGUGGUGCAGGAAGAGGACACCGGUGGGAGAGGCAAAAAUUAGGGCAGCGGGAAAGAGGAACAAAAAAAAGGCAUGACGAUAGAUCUUCAAAACCUAGGAGGAUGAAGUAGAUGUCAGGAGUAAGAGAAGUGAACACAAAGAAUGAGAGCUAAAAAGAAAAGCAGAAAAGGCAAGAUAUAUAAAAAAAUGAGAGUGGGGGAGGGGAAACAGAGGGCAAUAGGAUGAGGAGCAAGCAUAGGAGUUAGAAACUAGGAAGGAAAAGAUGAGCCAAAUCGGGCACGCAAAGCGUGAGAGCGGGAGAGGGAGUGGGAAACGAAGGGGGCGAAGCAGCAAAAAUCAGACAGAACCAGAAGGGAAAGAGGAGUGGCAGAGGAGCUGGAGACCAGGCCUAGCAACCCUUCAACUGGUCAACGGAUGAAGCUAUGAUGCUCAGUCAGCCCAUCUGCCUUUUCUGGAUGCUCUGAGCCACUCCAUAGUUAAACAAAUGCACUAGAUAAAUCAACAGCAGGAACACAAGACCAGCUCUGCCUGUGCCUUUCAGUUCAACUAAUAAGCAUAAAUUAUUCUGCUAUUGACAAACAAUCACUUUCCUUAUCUCCACAUUACUCUCUCUAUUUUCUCUCUUUCCUCAGCCUCUCCCUACUCUCCCUGCUAACAGCAGCCCAGUAAUCCCCGACGCCUUUUUUCUAUCGACCGGCUUCUGGCUCGGCCGCUCGAUCCACACUGUGACAUUCAGAUCAAUACUGCAUGAAUAAAAAGAAGCCUUUUCCUCUCUCCCGGCUCCUCUCUCUCUCUCGUCAGCUUACCGUCAGACGCUCGUAGUCCCAGGGUCGAUUUCAGCUUCCAUGCGUUGUCAGAUGUGGAGCGCUGGAAAACGAAGGGAACGGGCAAUGGAACAAACAUAUCGAGACUGACAGGCAGUUUUCCAACCUUGCAUACCAGGGACCCAAGUUGGUGUGUAUGUGAGUGUGUGUGGCUGUAUCUGUGCCUUCAAACAGGGAAUAAAGCGUGA